AAGACUAUACUUUUGGAGAUUAUUUCUAUAGCAUCCAACUAGAGGGAUGCACUCAAAAGUAAUUGGUUGAGUGAACCAUGAGGUGUCUUCUGGGCAUGAAGCUGGCAGGUGGUGUUACUACUUUGAGUAGCUGCCUUUUGCUAUUGAUGACUGUUCUGCUUCUUCAAUGCAAAGAAGAUGCAGUCUGAGUGGU